AAGUGAUGCAUAAUGAAUACAGAGUGGCUGGGGAUAUCCAGAACAAGCCCACAUUGAAACUGAUUCAUAAGUUUACUGUUAUGGUGUAAGGUUUUGGCAUUAAAUAUAUUGCAUAUAUAGCUGGUAAAUAAGAAGCAAACAGUGUGUAGAUGAGCGUAACAAAUAUAGUGAGGGAAAUGCAGAUUAGACUGGUGGAAAUGGGCAGCUGGAAGCAGUGGGCUGGAGGAAGAUCAGCAGCAGCAUCCCACAGUGGACAUGAUGGAGACUAGGCCAGUUGGUGGGACAGCAACCACAGAUCAGAAGCAUCCAGCUCUGGGCCCAGGGACACUCGGAGAAAGGACACAGGGAGAAACAGAGUGAAUGCAAUGCAAUAAUGGUAAAUGCAGUAAAUACACAGGUAAUGAGAGAAGGCCUCAGUGCAUCGAGAGAGGUCCCCUAGGCCUAUAGCAGCAUAUCUAGGAGCAUAACUAAAUGACACCAAAGAGGAAGUCAGUUUCCCAUUUGCCUUUAAUCCCUUCACAUUUUGCUGUGAGCUUGACUUUCAACUGAAUACCUGCAUUUCACUGUGGAAAUCAGCGUUUGUUCUGGGUUGUUGGUUUUUUGUUUGGGGUUUUUUUUGUGUUACUCAUGCUACCCUGCAGGGUUGUAACAUUCCCUUUUAGUUUUUACCUAAAUCAUUUCCUAAAUGGCUUUUGUCUCUGACAUCUACCUUCUGGCAAACUGACAGUGUUUUUCCUGCAACACUGGAAUUGUGGUGGUAUGUUAAUUAACAGCUGCUAAUCUGCCAUACAAUCAGGCCUUCUCUUUCUGGCACAAAAAGAAGUGUUUAAACCCACCCCCAUUAAAUGAGAAUUGCAAUUUGAACCUCAGAUUUAGCAACCUUUACAUGACUUGUUAACCAUAUGAGGCAACAGCAGAGGUUUUUAAAUAACUGAGUAGUGGUAAACUGGUAUUUUCCUAUGUGCACACCUUAUCAACAGUAUUAAUUAACAAUAUUUGUAACUGCAUUUAAUGUUGUCACUUGACGUAGCAUGAUGGUGCUCUGACUGUAUUUUGCAAAGCACUGUACUACAACCACAGUCAGGCUAAGCGAUCACACAAAGUUGGUUAUCAUCUCUUUAACCCUUUGAUGCACAAAAUGGGUCAAAAGUAACCCAUAUUCAAUGGAAAAUGGGUAUCUCCUGACCCACACUGCGCAUCAGAGGGUUAAACCAUCCCAGAGUUUUUCAAUCCAGCUACAAGCGCAUUCCUGUCAAAGUGUUGGUGCUGGCAACAGAUGGCUAAUCACAAACACAGACAGGUCUGGAGCUGCAUAUUUUACACUAGAAAAGCGUACUAUAUUCCUCAACCAAUAUGAAGUGUUUAAAAAAAAUAAAUACACACUAACAGCAACAUAGCUGUCUCAUGUUGCUAUCUCAGCCAAAACCAUGAAGAAAAGCAGAAAAAAACUACUCACCAUAUGAAAUUUAAUUAAAAGGCUUAUCAAUACCUCACGCUAAUAUAAGGCACAACUGGCUUAUCAUUUAAAAUGUGUAUAAGUUGCUUAGAAGAAGGUUUCUUAUUCAGGAUUCAGUCUAAUUAUCUUCAUGUAACACAAGAUUGUAUAACCAAAUUACAGAUAUAGUCCCUUCAAGCUGCUCACAAGAAGCUAUUUCUGUGCUAAUGUAAAGGAUGAAUUAAGCAAUUUCACAUUCAAUCUCAUUCUCAAGACUUGUAAGGAAAACAUCUAAAAACAUAAAUAAAACCAGUAAGGUCCGUGUACGGAUCUGGUAAUUGGAUUUUCCGUUCUGAAACGGGUAUUGAAAAACAAUAAACGAGUGGUUAUUUGAUUUUCGUUUUAAAAUACAAAAAUUAAAAUUAAAAUACAAGGCAUUUUUCAAUUUCAUGAUCAAAAAGGGAUAUAGGAUUUUUUUUAAGAUGCUUUGAUUUUCGUUUUAUAUUUAGAAUAACAAGAAAGUAAAAUCAGUAAGAGACAGAAACGAAAAAAGGUCCGUUUUUUCAUUUUCUGAGACCGGAAGUGGUCAUCAGCAAGUGUGGAGCCAAACAGAGUACAGUGCAUAGACUGUACAUACAUUUUUUUUUCGUGAGUUUUCAUGGUCAAAAUGAGAGAUCAGGUGGCCGAUCGUAAAAUAAAUCAAUAUUGAUUUUUUAUAAAGCGUUAAAGUUUUGCGAAGCCAGGGGGCGGGACUACUUGAUUGACAGUCUGGUCUGGAAUGAUUGACAGGUCCUAUGGAGGAAGCCGCAGAGACUCUGCUCUCCUUGUUUGGAUUAAUUCUGAUAUAACUGUUCGUUUAUUUAUCGGUGGAGCAGCAGAACCUUUUCCACAGAUAGUUUUCCUGCCCGUUGGCUUGUUUUAACCAGUUUUUUAACUUCGGCUGAUUCUACCAGCAGACACUGAAAGGACUCUAAUAGUUCGGUAAGUAAGUGUUUAUUUUCGUAUCGGUGCCGCUUUUAAUGCGCUUUAUAUGCAACUUUAGUGUCAGAUAUAAUGUCUGCCAUGCACUCCAUUUGUUGAUAGAGUUUGUUUCAGUGUGUGUUGACCAGAGAAGAAAGUUAGCAUUGUAAAUAUUAGCUUUAAUGUUAGCGAUGCUAACCGAGCUAGCUGCUCAGUCGUAGCCUGAUUAAAGCUAACGUUGCAUCAAGCUAAUGUGUUGAGUUUCAUGUAAACAGCUUAAGUGUGUUGUGUUCCUGUAAUGUGGUUCAUUAAGUUCAUAAAACUGUGGCUGGUUGACAUUAAUGUAACGUUCAGGAAACUUAAAUGUGAUUAAAACAGUAACGUUAAUGUUCUAGUUGUCAGUAAUCAGCUUUAAUUUGACACUAAAACAGACUCUGAUAGUUUUAAAUGACAUCAGUUUCAUGAAUUUGUUGAAAAUUGUCUCAUUUGUUGUUGCGAUUUUGCUGCUGAUUCAUUAAAACCAGAUGAUCCGUGUUGAAGACACAUUUAGUUCUAGUAUCAGACGUACAAGAAGGAAAAUGGAAGUUUGGUUCUGCUACAUCAAAGAUUUCAGGAUUAAAAUAACUAAAUGAGUCUUUAUGCCUCAAACUUUAUUUUACAAUAAAGAAAUAAUGAAAUAAUCACAGAUAAUAAAAAUAUAAAUAGCAGAGAAAACCUGAGAGAAUAAUUUCCUGAAAAGUCUGUGAAGGAAAAGCAGCUUUUUAUCCUGAAAGAUCAGAAUCAGCUCCAACAUCUGCAUCUGACAGCAUCAAGUCACCAAGAAAGAAAAGAAAAAAGAAAAUGACUACUUUCUGAUCACAUCUGUUCCACUGCUCACAGGCUGCUGCUGCUCACAUUCUUCACAUUUAUUGUCCACUUUUAAAAGGUGCUCUGCUUUGGAGUGUGACGAUGUCGUCGGUGAUGUGGAGAGUGAAGUUUCCGUUUCACCCACAGCGUGCUUUAGGACGCCCAGAGUGAAAGUAGCAGUUCCUUCUUAAGGUCAGAGAUUGCAGCAUCUGAGGGCCUCUUCAAAAGAAGACAUAGCUGAUGAAGGCGUUCUGGAGCAGGACCAGAAAGACCACGACCAAACAGCCUUGAGAUCUCAGGCAGCGUCUCCCUCAGGUCCCUCUCUAUCUCCCCACACAUCCACCAACCACUGGAACACAUCUCCAAAGUUCUGCUGGGCCAGCUCAGCUUCCCCUCAGAAGAAGUGCUGCCACCUGCCAGAUGAAGGAGCCUUUUGAGAGGCAGCUGGCAUCGUGAUUGGACUGUACUUUGGUCUGUUCCAAUCCAGCUUCAGCUCCAGAGACGGCAGGCGGGACGAGUCAACGGAGGCCUGGUGGACGAAGGCAUGCAGCUGAGUACAAUCCAGAAAACAACAGAGGAGGAGUGCAGCGACCCAGGGCCAGAACAAGCAGAGUAUCAUGACCAAAGAACUACAGACUCUUCACAACCUGCUCAAACUCUUGGUACAGGACCUCACCACACGGGUCAAGAAGGUUUCCAUCUCAUUUCUACUCUGAAGCUCACCUUCUCAAACUGCUGACAAAUCUUUCUGCUGCUCUAAAGUCUAGUCUCUAGAACUUCCUAAAAACUCUCAAAGUCUCUUCUGCUGCAGGUUGCUUUGUAGAACUG